UGUUCCUCCCUCCGGGCUCUGUCUGUGCAGACAGUAUACAUAGGAAAUGCUGCAGUCUAACAGGAGCAAGAAGAAGAGGAGAUGGAAGCAGAGGAACAGGAAGAGAAUUGUCAGUUUGAUCAGGAGAAGAUGAAGAUCACAGAGGGAGGAAAUAUGAUGCUGAUGACCUUCGAUGAGGUGGCUUUGCAUUUCUGUGAGGCAGAGUGGGGCCUCUUGGAUGAAGAGCAGAGGGAAAUCUACAAGAAAGUCAUGCAGGAAAAUUAUGAGACUCUGAUCUCCCUGGGUACGACUCUCGUACAUAUAAGAAGCUGUGCAGUCUCGGAAGUGUCUAUGGUCAGCUUCUGCUCAGUGUCCUUCCCUGCCCCCUUAGAAUUAGAAGAUCAGUCCCUGUGGUGCCCAGAACCAAUGCAAGAAGAGACCAUCCUCGCCAUACCAAUUCCCUUUCAAAGGAGGAUUCUGAAAUACAGCAGUGGAGCUAAUUCCCAGAGCUUUCUAUUGGGAUAGAAUAGUUUGUACCUAUACCCUCAUACUCUCACCAUUGUAUUACGUACUAAGACUGGCUUUGUCUUUGCAAGAGGGAAAACUCCUGUGGGAAGAGCCCUAGGGCUCAUUCUUGAACACAAAACCAGAGUUUCUCUGCAGGCUUAGAAAUGGAAUUUCCAAUUCCCAAGCCUGAGAUGAUAGCCCAGUUGGAAAGAGGGGAAGAGCCAUUUCUCCCAGAUCUCCAGCACUCUGAGG